rnacentral:rRNA from 1 species
AGAGUUUGAUCAUGGCUCAGAUUGAACGCUGGCGGUAUGCUUAACACAUGCAAGUUCGGACGGGGCAGCAAUGCCUAGCUGGCGGACGGGUGAGUAACGCGUAGGAAUCUGCCCGGUAAGUGGGGGAUAACAUGUGGAAACUUAAGCUAAUACCGCAUACGCCCUACGGGGGAAAGCAGGGGAUCUUCGGACCUUGCGCUAUUAGAUGAGCCUGCGUCGGAUUAGCUAGUUGGUAGGGUAAAGGCCUACCAAGGCAACGAUCCGUAGCUGGUUUGAGAGGACGAUCAGCCACACUGGGACUGAGACACGGCCUAGACUCCUACGGGAGGCAGCAGUGGGGAAUAUUGGACAAUGGGCGCAAGCCUGAUCCAGCAAUACCGCGUGUGUGAAGAAGGCCUUAGGGUUGUAAAGCACUUUCAGUAGGGAGGAACAGGAUAGGUUAAUAACCUUGAGUCUUGACGUUAACUGCACAAGAAGCACCGGCUAACUCCGUGCCAGCAGCCGCGGUAAUACGGGGGGUGCAAGCGUUAAUCGGAUUUACUGGGCGUAAAGCGCGCGUAGGUGGUUUAGCAAGUUGGAUGUGAAAGUCCCGGGCUCAACCUGGGAAUUGCAUCCCAACUGCUAAGACUAGAGUGUAGUAGAGGGAAGUGGAAUUCCGGGUGUAGCGGUGAAAUGCGUAGAUAUCCGGAGGAACACCAGUGGCGAAGGCGGCUUCCUGGACUAACACUGACGCUGAGGUGCGAAAGCGGGGGGAGCAAACAGGAUUAGAUCCCCUGGUAGUCCACGCCGUAAACGAUGUCAACUAGCCGUUGGGAGGAUUGCCGGUUUUAGUGGCGAAGCUAACGCGAUAAGUUCUCCGCCUGGGGAGUACGGCCGCAAGGUUAAAACUCAAAUGAAUUGACGGGGGCCCGCACAAGCGGUGGAGCAUGUUGUUUAAUUCGAUGCAACGCGAAAAACCUUAUCUACUCUUGACAUCCCGUGAACUUUCCAGAGAUGGUUUAGUGCCUUCGGGAACUCUGAGACAGGUGCUGCAUGGCUGUCGUCAGCUCGUGUUGUGAGAUGUUGGGUUAAGUCCCGCAACGAGCGCAACCCCUAUCCUUAUUUGCUAACACUUCGGGUGGGCACUCUAAGGAGACUGCCGGUGAUAAACCGGAGGAAGGUGGGGACGACGUCAAGUCCUCAUGGCCCUUAUGGGCUGGGCUACACACGUGCUACAAUGGCCGGUACAGAGGGCUGCGAACUCGCGAGAGUAAGCCAAUCCCUUAAAGCCGGUCCUAGUCCGGAUUGCAGUCUGCAACUCGACUGCAUGAAGCUGGAAUCGCUAAUAAUCGCGGAUCAGAAUGCCGCGGUGAAUUCGUUCCCGGGCCUUGUACACACCGCCCGUCACACCAUGGGAGUGGGUUGCAAAAGAAGUGGGUAGGCUAACCUUCGGGAGGCCGCUCACCACUUUGUGAUUCAUGACUGGGGUGAAGUCGUAACAAGGUAGCCCUA